GGAGGUUCUGCAGUGGUUCUCCUUUUAUGUGAGUAUUGGAAAAGGGCCUAGUUUGUGCUGAAGAGCCUUGGAAACAACAGGCUUUGGCUUCCUAAAGGGCAGGAAUUGCGAGAACUCCCUCCCCCUAACUAAGAGCCUCAUGACUGGGAGCACACCUGAUAAUGGGGACACCUACAGAAAUCAGUCGGGAGCAGCUGUGUAGAGAAGCCUGCGACAGGGCUGGGAAGAGGCCUAAAGACAGGCUGCACAAGCAGGGGAAGGAAGUGAGCCCGGGCCUUGACACAGAGCAUGCAGGCUGCCUGGGGUGUGCUUUUGCAGAGAGAGCCCCCUUUCACCCAGUCCCCUCUGCAGCUGGGUGGGAGCUGACUAUAUCCCUAGCAAAGCACCUGGGACUAGCCUCUUUAGCUGCUCAGCUGUGUGCAGCCUGGUUUGGAGCCUGCAGCAGAGGGAAGAAGAACCUCGAGGAGCCCUGCUACAAUGGGAUGAAGGCCCUACGGAUCCUUGGAGAGGGAUUGUGACCCAUAAGGGGAAAAAGCACCAUCCUUUCACCCUCUCAUUUUAGAGGUAAAAACAAAAGUAAGAUGAGAAGAAAACCCUUUGGAACAACUGGUUGGUUUCAGUGGGUAUAACAGAAAUAAAGCUGUUUAUUUUGAAAGGCUUAUUUGGUCACAUACGUACUGGUUGUAGCCAUACAUCGGACUCUGUCUUCAUGGCAAAAGAGACAGGCCAAAAAGAUUGGUCGCCUCUGUGAACAACUCAUUCAUUUCUAGCAAAGAUGUUUUUCAAUCAUGAUUAUGUCCACAAGAGCUUGGAAUAUACAACCUCUAAAUUGUCACUUCAAAUCUGGCUCAGGGCCGUACGAGGUAAAAGCUGUUACUAUCUGUUGGCUGUUUGGGGUUCUCUGUGUACAGGAGUCGUCAUCACAGAAAGUAUAGAGCCGUUGGUACAAAUACAUUGUUGGCAGAACAGAGAGCGAAGUGAAGUGUGGAUUGGAAAAUGGAGGCUGUGCUAACUGCUGUCUCCAAGAAGCGGUCUACAGUUUGACAUAUUGAUAUGUGUACAUAACUCCUGCUGAGCCUGGUGGAAGUCUCAGAUGUGUAUCGAGGGAAGAAUGAUGACUAUUUCAGACUUUCAGCCGAUCCAAUUCUAGUUAGUGUUCAUGAAAAAUAAACAAAUCAAUGAA